ACGUAGGGUGCGAGCGUUAAUCGGAAUUACUGGGCGUAAAGCGUGCGCAGGCGGCUUUGCAAGACAGAUGUGAAAUCCCCGGGCUCAACCUGGGAACUGCAUUUGUGACUGCAAGGCUAGAGUACGGCAGAGGGGGAUGGAAUUCCGCGUGUAGCAGUGAAAUGCGUAGAUAUGCGGAGGAACACCAAUGGCGAAGGCAAUCCCCUGGGCCUGUACUGACGCUCAUGCACGAAAGCGUGGGGAGCAAACAGG
rnacentral:rRNA from 1 species